rnacentral:tRNA from 1 species
GGACUUGUAGCUCGGUCUGGUUGAGAGCAUCCGUCUGAUAAGCGGAAGGGCGCUGGUUCAAAUCCAUCCAAGUCCA